UGGGGAAUAUUGCACAAUGGGCGCAAGCCUGAUGCAGCGACGCCGCGUGAGGGAUGGAGGCCUUCGGGUUGUAAACCCCUUUCGCCAGUGAAGCAGGCCAUCUUCUUGGUGGGGGGGUUGACGGUAGUUGGAUAAGAAGCGCCGGCUAACUACGUGCCAGCAGCCGCGGUAAUACGUAGGGCGCGAGCGUUGUCCGGAAUUAUUGGGCGUAAAGAGCACGUAGGCGGCUGGUCGCGUCUGUCGUGAAAUCCCCUGGCUUAACUGGGGGCUUGCGGUGGGUACGGGCCGGCUUGAGUGCGGUGGGGGAGACUGGAAUUCCUGGUGUAGCGGUGGAAUGCGCAGAUAUCAGGAGGAACACCGGUGGCGAAGGCGGGUCUCUGGGCCGUUACUGACGCUGAGGAGCGAAAGCGUGGGGAGCGAACAGG
rnacentral:rRNA from 1 species